UACAGAGGUCUCAAGCGUUGGUCGGAUUCAUUGGGCGUAAAGGGUGCGUAGGUGGUGGGGUAAGUCGGAUGUGAAAUCCCGGGGCUCAACCCCGGAACUGCAUUCGAUACUGCCUUGCUCGAGUACUGGAGAGGAGACUGGAAUUUACGGUGUAGCAGUGAAAUGCGUAGAUAUCGUAAGGAAGACCAGUGGCGAAGGCGAGUCUCUGGACAGUUACUGACACUGAGGCACGAAGGCCAGGGGAGCAAACGGG
rnacentral:rRNA from 1 species